CAGUAAGACAUUGUCUUCAGAGUAAAAUUAAUGUUGAGUCUAUCAAGGGAAGGAUUUCAAUCUUUACGAUGAUAUUGUCAGUUCUUUACGGUGAUUUGAAUGUUAUUCCACUGUUAAAAAGGGUACCACUUACUUGGGGUUGUCAACCUCGAAAAAUGUGAAGUUGUACGAAAUUUUGACUUUUUUCGAAAAUUUCUGGGUUUUAACUACUAUUCGCAUUUUUUCAAAUUCAAUGCAAAUAUUUUAGAAAAAUAACCCCGAAAUUUUUGGGCUGUAUCCCAGAAAUUUCAGGGUUUGUUAUAAAGAGAAGAUAUUUUCGAAGAAACGACGCAGGUAGGCUAUAGGGCUGUUCGACAUCUUUUUUAAGAUUUGUUGAAAUCGUGAAACGCAGCAACUCAUGUAUUUUUUCGUCUGCUACGAGUGACUUGUGUAGUUCUGCGAAAUAUAAAUUUUUUUAAAAAACAGUGAUAGAAAAGGGGGUUGUUUUGAAGUUCUGAUGUGUUUUCUUUAUAUAUUAGUUCGUUAUAGUGUUAGUGUUUAACUAUGUCACUGUCUAAUUAUGCCAGUGGACUUAGUAUUGAGGCCAAAACACGUUAUUUGGAAAAGUUACAAAUGUUUAACAGUGAUUGUCCAUAUUGUAUUCCUAAUUCUCUGUGGAAACAUGGUUUAGACUGUUGUCCAAUUGUUCCAAAAAUUGCUCCCUCAGAUAUCUUCAUAUAUCUUGUUGAAACAAAAAGCUAUCAAAAUCAUAUUCCAUCUAUGAUGUAAUUCUUAUUUCUUUUGCAGGUUCUCAGUGACUACGACUCGAGUGUCCUUUGUGUCUGUUACCCUCAGAUUCUGCCUCCUGAAAUUUACAACAUUUUAUGGGAUCAAAUUCUUCGUGCCUGUUACCAUACUCUACUUGACGGAUUUUCCGCUGUAAGAAAAUGCACGAACGAAGGUCGUGCACUAAUGCAGUUAGACUUCAGGCAUUUUCAAGUCAAAGUGGAAAGCUUGACACGUCUAAGACCUCUUACUGACCCACAUAUUGUCGAAACAUACAUAAAGGCAUAUUAUUUACCUGAAAAUUCUUUCGAAAAAUGGAUUCAAGAACAAACGGAAUAUACUCCUAGGCAGAUGAUGAAUCUUCUUCAAUACGUAAGUCAAGGCAGUAAAAAGAUUCGGCUGAACUUAACUUCCUUCAUGGAAGAUUUAGAUUUGAAUCGUCGAUAAAGAUCUUUGUUAUGAUUCAAGUGAUGAAAUUUUUGUAAAUUGAGAAAUAUACAUGACAUUCCAUUA